GCCGGGCGCGGUGGCUCACGCCUGUAAUCCAGCACUUUGGGAGGCAGAGGCGGGUGAAUCACCUGAGGUUAGGAGUUGGAGACCAUCCUGACCAACAUGGUGAAACCCCGUCUCUA
rnacentral:SRP_RNA from 1 species